GGAGCAGGAAGCUCAGAGGAUUUGCCAGAGCUUGGGUUGGGUAGACUUGGUAGAGAAGAGCUGCUGCCCAGGUCAGACCUCACCCCUCCUCGCCAAUGCCCAGAGUAAUGAGAGAAA